rnacentral:tRNA from 1 species
GAGACUUCCGUUGUAGACUUCUAAUCUAACACAUAAGCAAGUACUCUUGUUUAAGUCUUU